GAAACGGAGGAGUGGGGUGGGGGCAACUUCAGGAUGCGCAGUUGGGAAAGGCCUCUCUGAGGAGAUGACAGGACAAGAAAGAAGCAGCCCUGUGAGGCCCCAGGACGAGAACUUUCCACAGAGGGAGCAGCAAGAGCAAAGACCCUGGGCUUCAUGGGAGCUCAGAGAGUCAGGAGGAUAGCAAGCAGGCUGCUGUGCCGGAGGAGAAUGAGGGAAGAGAGUGCAGAGGCCAGUUUGGAGAGGCUGAAUAAAGCCUGAGUGUACCUGGUGAAGUGUUCAAUUUUUAUUUUUGAGGAUUUAUUUAUGUAUUUAUUUGAGAUAGGGUCUUGCUCUGCCACCCAGGCUAGAGGGCAGUGGUACCAUCACGGCUCACUACAACCUCAAUCUCCCUGGGUGCAACUGAUCCUUCCACCUUAGCCUCCUGAGUAACUGGGAACACAGGUGCAUGCCACCUCGCUCUGCCAAUUUUUGUAUUUUUUGUAGAGAUGGCGUUUUACUAUGUUGCCCAGGCUGCUUGAACUCCUGAGCUCAAGCAAUCCACCCACCUUGGCCUCCCACCGUGCUGGGAUUACAGGCAUGAGCCACCACACCCGGUUUUUUGAGGACUUCAAACAGCAAACAACACAGUUUCCAUUACCAGUUAAAACGUUUAGAAACCCAUCUCAAGCGGGCUUAAACAAAAGGAGGGAUUUAUUAAAGAACAGCAACAGUGUCUCAUGGAAGCUGGGGGCAGGAACAGAGCUGGGCUUAAAACUGGGAGGGCGAUUUCUCCAUCCCCAUUGCCGGUUUUCUUUAUACUGUCUGUGACCCAGUCCACGUUGUGGAACACAGCUGCCAACUACUCCUGAAAUUUGUGAAAUUGACUUCUGUAGUCUGGCAUCUCAAGGGUGAUGCAUCUCUCAGUGCCAACACGCCUCAGGUAAGGACUCAGGAACUGGCUUGAGCCAGGAGUCCACUCCUGGACCAAUCAGCUAUGGCCAGGGUAGAAUGGAGUCACACUCCACUUCCUAGUUGUUCUUAAGUAAGGAUGGGGGCUGGGCACGGUGGCUCACGCCUGUAAUCCCAACACUUUGGGAGUCCGAGGCAGGCAGAUCACUUGAGGUCAGGAGUUCGAGUCCAGCCUGGCCAACAUAGUGAAACCCCUUCUUUACUAAAAAUAUAAAAAUUAGCCGAAGUAGUGGGGAGCUUAGGUGCAGUAGCUACUCAGGAGGCUGAGGCAGGAGAAUCACUUGAACCCAGGAGGCGAGGCUUGCAGAGAGCUGAGAUCGUGCCACCGUACUCCAGCCUGUGUGACGGAGUGAGAUGUUGUCUCAAAAAAAAAAAAAAAAAAAAA
rnacentral:lncRNA from 1 species